rnacentral:rRNA from 1 species
CUCCGGUGAUCCCGCCCGGACCUGACUGCUAUCGGAUUGGUACUAAGCCAUGCGAGUCGUUGUAGCAAUACAAGGCGGACGGCUCAGUAACACGUAGUCAACCUAACCUAUGGACGUGGAUAACCUCGGGAAACUGAGAAUAAACCGCGAUAGAUCAUUAUGCCUGGAAUGGCUUAUGGUUCAAACAAUUUAUUGCCGUAGGAUGGGACUGCGGCCUAUCAGCUUGUUGGUGAGGUAAUGGCCCACCAAGGCUAUAACAGGUACGGGCUCUGAGAGGAGAAGCCCGGAGAUGGGUACUGAGACACGGACCCAGGCCCUAUGGGGCGCAGCAGGCGAGAAACCUUAGCAAUGUGCGAAAGCACGACUAGGUUAAUCCGAGUGAUUUCUGUUGAAGAAAUCUUUUGUCAGUCGUAAAACCACAGACGAAUAAGGGGUGGGCAAGUCUGGUGUCAGCCGCCGCGGUAAUACCAGCACCUCGAGUGGUCAGGAGGUUUAUUGGGCCUAAAGCAUCCGUAGCCGGCUACGCAAGUCUCCGGUUAAAUCCAGCUGCUCAACAGAUGGGCUGCCGGAGAUACUACAUAGCUAGGGAGCGGGAGAGGUAGACGGUAUUCUGUGGGUAGGGGUAAAAUCCACUGAUCCAUAGAGGACCACCAGUGGCGAAGGCGGUCUACCAGAACGCGUUCGACGGUGAGGGAUGAAAGCUGGGGGAGCAAACCGGAUUAGAUACCCGGGUAGUCCCAGCUGUAAACGAUGCAAACUCGGUGAUGCAUUGGCUUAUGGCCAAUGCAGUGCCGCAGGGAAGCCGUUAAGUUUGCCGCCUGGGAAGUACGGACGCAAGUCUGAAACUUAAAGGAAUUGGCGGGGGAGCA